rnacentral:rRNA from 1 species
GUCUUUUUGAUUAUAAUUUAAAGUCUAACCUGCCCACUGAAAUUUUUGAAGGGCCGCGGUAUUUUGACUGUGCAAAGGUAGCAUAAUCAUUAGUCUUUUAAUUGGAGGCUUGUAUGAAUGGUUGGAUGAGGUAUUAACUGUCUCAAUUUAAUAAAUAAUAGAAUUUUAUUUUUAAGUUAAAAAGCUUAAAUAAAGUUAAAAGACGAGAAGACCCUAUAGAUCUUUAUAAUUAAUUUUAUUAUAAUUUUUUAGGUUAAAUUUAUUUUUAUAAAAUUAAUUAUUUUAUUGGGGUGAUGAAAAAAUUUAUAAAACUUUUUUUGUAGAUAAACAAUUAUAUUUGGUUAAUUGAUCCAUUUUUUGUGAUUAUAAGAUUAAGUUACCUUAGGGAUAACAGCGUAAUUUUUUUGGAGAGUUCUUAUCGAUAAAAAAGAUUGCGACCUCGAUGUUGAAUUAAAGGUUAAUUUUAGGUGUAGAAGUUUAAAAUUUUGGUCUGUUCGACCAUUAAAUC